AGAGCGAACGCUGGCGGCAGGCUUAACACAUGCAAGUCGAGCGGGCGUAGCAAUACGUCAGCGGCAGACGGGUGAGUAACGCGUGGGAACAUACCUUUUGGUUCGGAACAACACAGGGAAACUUGUGCUAAUACCGGAUAAGCCCUUACGGGGAAAGAUUUAUCGCCGAAAGAUUGGCCCGCGUCUGAUUAGCUAGUUGGUGAGGUAACGGCUCACCAAGGCGACGAUCAGUAGCUGGUCUGAGAGGAUGAUCAGCCACAUUGGGACUGAGACACGGCCCAAACUCCUACGGGAGGCAGCAGUGGGAAUAUUGGACAAUGGGCGCAAGCCUGAUCCAGCCAUGCCGCGUGAGUGAUGAAGGCCCUAGGGUUGUAAAGCUCUUUUGUGCGGGAAGAUAAUGACGGUACCGCAAGAAUAAGCCCGGCUAACUUCGCGCCAGCAGCCGC
rnacentral:rRNA from 1 species